GAUGAACGCUGGCGGCGUGCCUAAUACAUGCAAGUCGAGCGAACGGACGAGAAGCUUGCUUCUCUGAUGUUAGCGGCGGACGGGUGAGUAACACGUGGAUAACCUACCUAUAAGACUGGGAUAACUUCGGGAAACCGGAGCUAAUACCGGAUAAUAUUUUGAACCGCAUGGUUCAAAAGUGAAAGACGGUCUUGCUGUCACUUAUAGAUGGAUCCGCGCUGCAUUAGCUAGUUGGUAAGGUAACGGCUUACCAAGGCAACGAUGCAUAGCCGACCUGAGAGGGUGAUCGGCCACACUGGAACUGAGACACGGUCCAGACUCCUACGGGAGGCAGCAGUAGGGAAUCUUCCGCAAUGGGCGAAAGCCUGACGGAGCAACGCCGCGUGAGUGAUGAAGGUCUUCGGAUCGUAAAACUCUGUUAUUAGGGAAGAACAUAUGUGUAAGUAACUGUGCACAUCUUGACGGUACCUAAUCAGAAAGCCACGGCUAACUACGUGCCAGCAGCCGCGGUAAUACGUAGGUGGCAAGCGUUAUCCGGAAUUAUUGGGCGUAAAGCGCGCGUAGGCGGUUUUUUAAGUCUGAUGUGAAAGCCCACGGCUCAACCGUGGAGGGUCAUUGGAAACUGGAAAACUUGAGUGCAGAAGAGGAAAGUGGAAUUCCAUGUGUAGCGGUGAAAUGCGCAGAGAUAUGGAGGAACACCAGUGGCGAAGGCGACUUUCUGGUCUGUAACUGACGCUGAUGUGCGAAAGCGUGGGGAUCAAACAGGAUUAGAUACCCUGGUAGUCCACGCCGUAAACGAUGAGUGCUAAGUGUUAGGGGGUUUCCGCCCCUUAGUGCUGCAGCUAACGCAUUAAGCACUCCGCCUGGGGAGUACGACCGCAAGGUCGAAACUCAAAGGAAUUGACGGGGACCCGCACAAGCGGUGGAGCAUGUGGUUUAAUUCGAAGCAACGCGAAGAACCUUACCAAAUCUUGACAUCCUUUGACAACUCUAGAGAUAGAGCUUUCCCCUUCGGGGGACAAAGUGACAGGUGGUGCAUGGUCGUCGUCAGCUCGUGUCGUGAGAUGUUGGGUUAAGUCCCGCAACGAGCGCAACCCUUAAGCUUAGUUGCCAUCAUUAAGUUGGGCACUCUAAGUUGACUGCCGGUGACAAACCGGAGGAAGGUGGGGAUGACGUCAAAUCAUCAUGCCCCUUAUGAUUUGGGCUACACACGUGCUACAAUGGACAAUACAAAGGGCAGCGAAACCGCGAGGUCAAGCAAAUCCCAUAAAGUUGUUCUCAGUUCGGAUUGUAGUCUGCAACUCGACUACAUGAAGCUGGAAUCGCUAGUAAUCGUAGAUCAGCAUGCUACGGUGAAUACGUUCCCGGGUCU
rnacentral:rRNA from 1 species